rnacentral:rRNA from 1 species
UGAGGAAUAUUGGACAAUGGAUGGAAAUCUGAUCCAGCCAUGCCGUGUGCAGGAAGACGGCCCUAUGGGUUGUAAACUGCUUUUGUAUGGGAGCAAUAAGGACUACGUGUAGUUUGAUGAGAGUACCAUACGAAUAAGCAUCGGCUAACUCCGUGCCAGCAGCCGCGGUAAUACGGAGGAUGCGAGCGUUAUCCGGAUUUAUUGGGUUUAAAGGGUGCGUAGGCGGCGAUAUAAGUCAGUGGUGAAAUAUUUCGGCUUAACCGAGAGACUGCCAUUGAUACUGUGUUGCUAGAAUAUGGUUGCUGUGAGUGGAAUGUGUGGUGUAUCGGUGAAAUGCUUAGAUAUCACACAGAAUAUCGAUUGCGAAGGCAGCUCACAAAGCCAUUAUUGUCGCUGAGGCACGAAAGUGUGGGGAUCAAACA